rnacentral:rRNA from 1 species
GACGAACGCUGGCGGCAGGCUUAACACAUGCAAGUCGAACGCCCCUUCGGGGAGUGGCAGACGGGUGAGUAACGCGUGGGAAUCUACCCAGUACUACGGAACAACAGUUAGAAAUGACUGCUAAUACCGUAUACGCCCUCCGGGGAAAGAUUUAUCGGUAUUGGAUGAGCCCGCGUUUGAUUAGCUAGUUGGUGAGGUAAUGGCUCACCAAGGCGACGAUCAAUAGCUGGUCUGAGAGGAUGAUCAGCCACACUGGGACUGAGACACGGCCCAGACUCCUACGGGAGGCAGCAGUGGGGAAUAUUGGACAAUGGGCGCAAGCCUGAUCCAGCCAUGCCGCGUGUGUGAUGAAGCCCUAGGGUUAAAGCACUUUCAACGGUGAGAUAAUGAGGUAACCGUAGAAGAAGCUCCGGCUAACUUCGUGCCAGCAGCCGCGGUAA